AUUGAACGCUGGCGGCAGGCCUAACACAUGCAAGUCGAGCGGAUGAGAGGAGCUUGCUCCUUGAUUUAGCGGCGGACGGGUGAGGAAUGCCUAUGAAUCUGCCUGGUAGUGGGGGAUAACGUCCGGAAACGGGCGCUAAUACCGCGUACGUCCUACGGGAGAAAGCAGGGGACCUUCGGGCCUUGCGCUAUCAGAUGAGCCUCGGUCGGAUUAGCUAGGUGGUGAGGUAAUGGCUCACCAAGGCGACGAUCCGUAACUGGUCUGAGAGGAUUAUCAGUCACACUGGAACUGAGACACGGUCCAGACUCCUACGGGAGGCAGCAGUGGGGAAUAUUGGACAAUGGGCGAAAGCCUGAUCCAGCCAUGCGGCGUGUGUGAAGAAGGUCUUCGGAUUGUAAGGCACUUUAAGUUGGGAGGAAGGGCAGUAAGUUAAUACCUUGCUGUUUUGACGUUACCGACAGAAUAAGCACCGGCUAACUUCGUGCCAGCCGCCGCCGUAA
rnacentral:rRNA from 1 species